rnacentral:rRNA from 1 species
UACAGCACACAAGCUCUCUGCAACUCUCACAUGGUCGCCCACUGAAGCUAAGCAGGGCUGUGCCCGGAUAGUACCUAAAUGGGAGACCACAUGGGAAAGCUAGGUUGCUGCCGGAA